CUAAAGGCUCUUUUCAGAGCCACCCAACUCAUCUUAUUAAAGAGCUU
rfam:TPA: Bos taurus chromosome 23, whole genome shotgun sequence.